UACGUAGGGUGCAAGCGUUAAUCGGAAUUACUGGGCGUAAAGCGUGCGCAGGCGGUUUUGUAAGUUUGUCGUGAAAGCCCCGGGCUCAACCUGGGAAUUGCAUUCGAGACUGCUCUGCUAGGGUGCGGAAGAGGGAAGCGGAAUUUCCGGUGUAGCGGUGAAAUGCGUAGAUAUCGGAAGGAACACCAGUGGCGAAAGCGGCUUCCUGGUCCAGCACCGACGUUCAGGCACGAAAGCGUGGGGAGCAAACAGG
rnacentral:rRNA from 1 species